GAUGAACGCUAGCGGCAGGCCUAACACAUGCAAGUCGAGGGAGAAGCCCUUCGGGGCAGAAACCGGCGCACGGGUGCGUAACGCGUAUGCAACCUACCUUUCACAGGGGGAUAGCCCGGAGAAAUUUGGAUUAAUAUCCCAUAAUAUUGUUGGAUGGCAUCAUUUGGCAAUUAAAGUUACGAUGGUGGAAGAUGGGCAUGCGUCCUAUUAGCUAGUUGGCGAGGUAACGGCUCGCCAAGGCGACGAUAGGUAGGGGUCCUGAGAGGGAGAUCCCCCACACUGGUACUGAGACAGGGACCAGACUCCUACGGGAGGCAGCAGUGAGGAAUAUUGGUCAAUGGUCGGAAGACUGAACCAGCCAUGCCGCGUGCAGGAAGGCGGCCUUAUGGGUUGUAAACUGCUUUUAUAUGGGAAGAAUAAGGGGUACGUGUACUUUGAUGACGGUACCAUAUGAAUAAGC
rnacentral:rRNA from 1 species